CUGAGGCAAGAGGCCAACUGUCAGGGUCCUUCUCCGUCUCUUUUCUCUUCCCUGCUCAUGGCCCAUCAUUAGUUUGUGGUUUGGGUCAUUAUUAUGAUUAUGAGUAUGGCUAUUAUUUUUAAUGCCCACAAAAGUAACAGGCUUAUUGAAAAAAACAAAUGUUAAAAAUUAUAAUGCAAAGAACGAGAAUACCUUUCACUAUCCUGUACACACACACACGAACACGUUUUAGGUUGAUUCCUAUAGAUUUUUUUCAUGCAUAUUCAUGCAACAUCCAUUUAGUCAACAUCCAUUUAGUCAACAAUCACAUUAUUAUCAUCAUUCUUAUUUACAUCAUUUUCAUACUAUACGUACUCUUGUAACUAAUUAACACUGUACCUUGUUUUUUUUAAAAUUUUUUCCAUAAUGAUACCCAUCUACAGUGUUGAUCUAUAGUGUUGGUAACAGUUUCACCAGCAUAUUUCAUUGUGUAGAUGAAUAUAAUUUUUUAACUUUAUAGUUUCCUGUCUUUCACUAUUAUAAAGGAUCUGGCUAUAUAUGGUCUUUUAUGUAUACGUGGUGCAUUGAUGGGGUAAUAAUACUACAGUAUUCUAGCUAACAUUUGCACGUUAUUUACUAUGGGCACUAUCUGACAGGUAGUGAGAGCUUUACCUAUACUCAUCAUUUAAUCCUCACCACAACCUGAUUAGUAUUAUUAUCUCUGUUUUACAGAUGGAGAAAUUGAGCAUGGAACACUAAGAAAUUUGCCCAAGCUUACCAGGGGAAUGCAGCUGCCAUGUCAUGAGCACACUCAAGCAGCCCUCUGGAGAGGCUCAUCUGGAGAAGAACUGGAGCUUCUCACUGUCAUCCAGCACCAGCCAUAAGAGUAAGCCAACUUAGACCCGGAUCCUCCAGCCCCAGCCAGGCUUUCUGGAUGUUUCAGCCAACAUCUUGACUUUACCCUCCUGAGACUUUCAUGAGAGGCAGAAAUAUCCACUGAAGCUGCUCCCGAAUUUGUGGCUCACAGAUACUGAGCUCAGAUACUGUGUGAGAUAAUAAAUGUUUAUUGUU
rnacentral:lncRNA from 1 species